rnacentral:piRNA from 1 species
UAGCUCAUCCAUUUGGGCCUAGACGCUUU